rnacentral:rRNA from 1 species
UGGGGAAUAUUGCACAAUGGGCGCAAGCCUGAUGCAGCCAUGCCGCGUGUGUGAAGAAGGCCUUCGGGUUGUAAAGCACUUUCAGCGAGGAGGAAGGUGGUGAGCUUAAUACGCUCAUCAAUUGACGUUACUCGCAGAAGAAGCACCGGCUAACUCCGUGCCAGCAGCCGCGGUAAUACGGAGGGUGCAAGCGUUAAUCGGAAUUACUGGGCGUAAAGCGCACGCAGGCGGUUUGUUAAGUCAGAUGUGAAAUCCCCGGGCUCAACCUGGGAACUGCAUUUGAAACUGGCAAGCUAGAGUCUCGUAGAGGGGGGUAGAAUUCCAGGUGUAGCGGUGAAAUGCGUAGAGAUCUGGAGGAAUACCGGUGGCGAAGGCGGCCCCCCUGGACGAAGACUGACGCUCAGGUGCGAAAGCGUGGGGAGCAAACAGAUUAGNUACCCUGGUAGUCCACGCUGUAGACGAUGUCGAUUUUGGAGGUGUGCCCUUGAGGCGUGGCUUCCGGAGCUAACGCGUUAAAUCGACCGCCUGGGGAGUACGGCCGCAAGGUUAAAACUCAAAGGAAUUGACGGGGGUCAUAGCUGUUUCCUG